rnacentral:rRNA from 1 species
CACGUAGGGCGCAAGCGUUGUCCGGAAUUAUUGGGCGUAAAGAGCUCGUAGGCGGCUUGUUGCGUCGGCUGUGAAAACCCAUGGCUUAACCCUGGGCCUGCAGUGGAUACGGGCAGACUAGAGGUAGGUAGGGGAGAAUGGAAUUCCCGGUGUAGCGGUGAAAUGCGCAGAUAUCGGGAGGAACACCGGUGGCGAAGGCGGUUCUCUGGGCCUUACCUGACACUGAGGAGCGAAAGCGUGGGGAGCGAACAGG